GAUUAAGCCAUGCAUCUCUAAGUAUAAGCAACUUGUACUGUGAAACUGCGAAUGGCUCAUUAAAUCAGUUAUCGUUUAUUUGAUAGUACCUUACUACAUGGAUACCUGUGGUAAUUCUAGAGCUAAUACAUGCUAAAAACCCCGACUUCAGGAAGGGGUGUAUUUAUUAGAUAAAAAACCAACGCCCUUCGGGGCUCCUUGGUGAAUCAUAAUAACUUAACGAAUCGCAUGGCCUUGCGCCGGCGAUGGUUCAUUCAAAUUUCUGCCCUAUCAACUUUCGAUGGUAGGAUACUGGCCUACCAUGGUGGCAACGGGUAACGGGGAAUUAGGGUUCGAUUCCGGAGAGGGAGCCUGAGAAACGGCUACCACAUCCAAGGAAGGCAGCAGGCGCGCAAAUUACCCAAUCCCGAUACGGGGAGGUAGUGACAAUAAAUACUGAUACGGGGCUCUUUUGGGUCUCGUAAUUGGAAUGAGAACAAUUUAAAUCCCUUAACGAGGAACAAUUGGAGGGCAAGUCUGGUGCCAGCAGCCGCGG
rnacentral:rRNA from 1 species